rnacentral:rRNA from 1 species
UCGAGCGGAUUGAUGGGAGCUUGCUCCCUGAAAUCAGCGGCGGCUGUGUGAGUAACACGUGGGUAACCUGCCUGUAAGACUGGGAUAACUCCGGGAAACCGGGGCUAAUACCGGAUAGUUCUUUUCCUCGCAUGAGGAAAAGUGGAAAGGCGGCUUCGGCUGCCACUUACAGAUGGACCCGCGGCGCAUUAGCUAGUUGGUGAGGUAACGGCUCACCAAGGCAACGAUGCGUAGCCGACCUGAGAGGGUGAUCGGCCACACUGGGACUGAGACACGGCCCAGACUCCUACGGGAGGCAGCAGUAGGGAAUCUUCCGCAAUGGACGAAAGUCUGACGGAGCAACGCCGCGUGAGUGAUGAAGGUUUUCGGAUCGUAAAGCUCUGUUGUUAGGGAAGAAUAAGUGCCGUUCGAAUAGGGCGGCGCCUUGACGGUACCUAACCAGAAAGCCACGGCUAACUACGUGCCAGCAGCCGCGGUAAUACGUAGGUGGCAAGCGUUGUCCGGAAUUAUUGGGCGUAAAGCGCGCGCAGGCGGUCUCUUAAGUCUGAUGUGAAAGCCCACGGCUCAACCGUGGAGGGUCAUUGGAAACUGGGGGACUUGAGUACAGAAGAGGAAAGUGGAAUUCCACGUGUAGCGGUGAAAUGCGUAGAUAUGUGGAGGAACACCAGUGGCGAAGGCGACUUUCUGGUCUGUAACUGACGCUGAGGCGCG